UCCUUUGGAAACCUAAGUUUUUCAAAGUCUGUCAGUCAGUAUCUGUUCUGCAAAGAAGUUCAGUCUGUCCUUUUUUCAGAUUCCACAUGUCAGUGAAAGCAUUGGAUGUUGAUGUCUCAUUGUAUGGCUGACUUCACUUAGCAUGAGAAUUUCUAGGUCCAUCCAUGUUGCUAAAAAUGCUGUUAUUUCAUUCCUUUUAAUUGCUGAGAAAUAUUCCAUUGUGUAUAUGUACCACAUCUUCUUUAUCCACUCCUCUGUCAAUGAACAUUCAGGUUGUUUCCAUGUCUUGGCUAUUGCAAAUAGUGCUGCAAUGAACAUUGGAGUACAUGUGUAUUUUCAACUCAUGGUUUUCUCUGGAUAAAUGCCCAGGAGUGGGAUUGCUGGAUCAAAUGGUAAUUCUAUUUUUAGUUUUCUGAGGAAUCUCCAUACUAUUUUCCACAGUGGUUGCACCAUUUUAUAUUCCACCAACAGUGUACUAGGGUUCCUUUUUCUCCACACCCUCUCUAGCAAUUCUUGAUUGUAGACUUUUGGAUGAUGGCCAUUCUGUGUAAGGUGGUAUCUCAUCGUGGUUUUGAUUUGCAUUUCUCUAAUAAUGAGUGACGUUGAACAUCUUUUCAUGUUUUUUGGCCAUCCACAUGUCUUCAUUGGAGAACUGUUUAGAUCUUCUGCCCAUUUUUUAAUGGGAUUGUUUUUCUUGUUUAUAUUGAUCGUUAAGAGGUGUUUAUAAAUUUUGGAGAUUAAUCCCUUGUCAGUUGAUUCAUUUGCAAAGAUUUUUUCCCUUUCUGUGGGUUGUCUUUUUGUUUUGUUUAGGGUUUCCUUUGCUGUGCAGAAACUUUGAAGUUUAAUUAGGCCCCAUUUGUUUAUUUUUGUUUUUACUGUCAUUACUCUAAGAGGUGGAUCUGAGAAGAUGUUGCUAUUGUUUAUGUCAGAGUGUGUUUGGCCUAUGUUUUCCUCUAGGAGUUUGAUAGUGUCUGGUCUUAUAUCUAGGUCUUUAAUCCAUUUUGAGUUUAUUUUUGUGUAUGGUAUUAGGAAAUGUUCUAAUUUCAUUCUUUUCCAUGUGGCCGUCCAGUGUUUCCAGCACUACUUAUUGAACAGGCUGUGUUUUCUGGCUUUUUUUUUUUUUUUUUUAAAUCUACAUUCUAUGUCCUUUUUUUAAAAAAGCUUGAUGAAUUUUAUUAUAUGAUAUUGUUAUACAACUAUAUCAUCACAACCCAAUUUUACAGCAUCUUCGUCAAAACCCCCAGCCCAUCCCUCCCCCUCAACCUAUCUCUUUUGGUAACCAUAAGUUUUUUAAAGUCUGUGAGUUUCUGUUUUACAAAGAAGUUCAUUUUUUCUUUUUUUUUUAGAUUCCACAUAUAAGUGAUAGCACAUGACAUUCUUGUCUCACUGUCUAACUUCACUUAUGAUAAUUUCUAGAUCCAUCCGUGUUGCUGCAAAUGCCAUUAUUUUUUCCUUUUUAUGGCUGAGUAAUAUUCCAUCAUGUAUAUGUACCACAUCUUCUUUAUUCAUUCCUCUGUUGAUGGACAUUUAGGUUGCUUCCAGGUCUUGGCUAUUGUUAUAGUGCUGCAGUGAACAUUGGGGUAGAUGUAUUUUUUUGAGUCAUGGUUUUCUCUGGAUAGAUGCACAGGAGUGGGAUUGAUGUGACACUCUUUUUCCAGUCUUUUGAUUGGAACAUUUAGUCCAUUGACAUUUAGGGUAAUUAUUGAUAGAUAUGUAUUUAUUGCCAUUUUAACCUUGUUUUCUAGUUAAUUCUGUGUUUCUACUUUGUUCCUCUUUUUUUCCUCCUGUGGUUUGAUGAUUUUCUUUUGUAUUAUAAUUGUGUUCUCUUCUUUUUGAUUUUUAUGAAUCUAUAGCAUGUCAUUGAUUUGUGGUUAUCCUGUUUUUCAAGUGUGUUAACCCCUUCCUUUAUCUACUUGCUUUAGAUUGGUAGUCAAAUAGGUUCAAAUACAUUCUGAAAAGUAAUGUAUAUUGCUUAUGCUCCUCCCCCACAUUUUAUUAUUCAUUUUUUACAUCUUCAUGUUCAUCCCUUUGCUGUUUAUUGUGGUUUUCAUCACUUUCACAAAAGGUUUUUUUCUUUUUUUCUGUUGUGCUGUGUCUUGCCCUCUGCAUGCUUCCCAACAAUGGCACCUCACUCUAUGGUGGGCCUGGGCUCCCUCUGCAUAUAUCCUGGUUGUGGCCACACCAUACUCUAGCCCUUUCAGGCUGUCUCCAUGCAGUUGUCUCCCUGCAUCUGAGCUCCAAAGCAGAGGACAUGCAUCUCAGGCUAGGGAGUGCCAGGUAGUGAUACAGACAAUAUGUGCAGGUCUCUCUCCAUUCUGCCUGCUGGAAACUGAUUGUUGUGGUCUCCUCCCAGGCCCUAAAGCUUUUCCUUCAUCCCUGGUGAUCUACCCACUGGUAUAGGGACUUCUCAGGGUACAGAACAGUUUCCCUUUCAUAGCUUCCUGCCAGGGGCACAGGUCCUGUCCUGAUUUCUUUCUUUUUUUUUCCUUUUGUCCUAUCCAGUUACAUGGAGAUCUUUCUUCCUCUUUCAGAAGUCUGAGGUCUUCUACCAGCAUCCCGUAGGUAUUCUGUGAGAAUUUUUCCACAUGUAGAUGUUUUUGAGGCAUUUGUGAGAGGAGGUGAGCUCUAUGUUCUUUUACUCUGACAUCUUGAUCACUCCCGCCUCCUAUAGCUUAACAUUUUAAAACAAUUGAAGCAUAAUUAACAUUAUAUACAGAUCUUAGGUGUGCAGUUUGAUGUUUUACAAUUAUGUACACUACUGUAAUCACUACCCUCAAGAAGAUACAUUUCCAUCACCUAAGGAAAGUUCCCUCAUACCCCUUUGCACUCAAUUCCCACCCCUAUCUUCAGGCAGCCAUAUCUAAUGUCUGUUACCAUAGGUCAGUUUUGUCUGUUUUUGUUUUCACAUAAAUGGACUCAUAGAGUAUGUACUGAGUUUGGUUCACCCAUGUUGUAUAUGGGUCGGUAGUAGAUUUCUUUCUAUUGCUAGAUGGUAUCUACUGCUCAGAUAGAUCACAGUUUGCUUAUCUACUUGUUAAUGGUGGAAUUUAGAUUAUUUUCAGUUUUUGGCUUUUACAAUAAGGCUGCUAAAAUUAUUCUUGUACAAGUCUUUGUAAACCCAUGUUUUCAUUUCUUUUGUGUAAAUAACUAAGAUUAGAAAUGUAGGUCACAACAAAGAUGUGGGCUUCAUUUUAUAGGAAAUUCCUUCUGCAUUCAUUUGUGCUAACCUGUGAAGUUCUCUUGAUUCCAAUUCUACUGUUCACUCUUACCUAUUCCUUUUAGGUUUCAGAUAUAUAAAUUUGGUAGUGUUUUUCUCAUAUCCCAAUUAUUGAUAAAAAUACAGAAGAGGAGUUCCCUUCGUGGCUCAGCAGAAACAAAUCUGAGUAGCAUCUGUGAGGACACAGGUUCAAUCCCUGGCCUCACUCAGUGGGUUAAGGAUCAGGUGUUGCUGUGAGCUGUGGUGUAGGUUGCAGAUGUGGCUUGGAUCCUGUGUGGCUGUGGUUGUGGUGUAGGCCAGCAGCUACAGCUCUGAUUCAGCCCCUAGCUUGGGAACCUCUAUAUGCCAUGGGUGUGGCCCUUAAAAAAAAAAAAAGACAAAAAAAAAAUACAGAGAUGAGGAGGUGGGUGAAACUUUACAUUAGGAUGCAGCUGCCAACUUCGAAGAUGCCAAAGAUCAAAUCCCUUGGGUGUGAUCAUGCAACUGUAUGUGAAUCCACUGAACAAUGCCCAUGCAGGUUACAUUUCUCCAUCUUUUCUAUAAAUACAAACCUGGAAUAAAUUUUAGUUACCUCUCUGUUUUGUCUUUUAUUACAUGGAAAUUUAGUUUGAACUAGAAGAUAGGCAAACUGUGGAUGCUACUUGGAUUCAUGCAAUCAAGUAAUUUCCUUAUCCAGGAAUCUAACACUUAUUAGUUAAUGCUAUUAAGCAUUAACUAGGCACUCUUUAAGCACUUUACUUAAACAUCAUAAAAAUUACUGAAAACUGGCAACAAUUUAAUGAAAACACAGGUACAGAAAAGCAAUUUUCCUAAGACGUGAAAGGAAAAGUUUCCUGGCCCAGAGUCAGUAUUUUUAAACUCCGUGCAACAUCAAGCUCAUUUAUAGCUAAAGAAUAAAUAUCCUAGUUUGUUGCAUGAAAUAUCUAGAUAUUAAGUACCUAAUAUUAACUAUAGUUCCAAUUCCUUUCACUGUAUGAAUUCUUAUUUCAUUCCACAUUUAUUGAGCAUCUCUUAUGUAUAAAAUUAUAAGGAUAAAAAAGUGAACUGCCAGAUUUUAAAACAAAUCUAUUACUGGAGAUGAAAUGUAAGUCACGUGACAGGUUCACAUCUGUGAAUUCAGAGGUGGGAUUGGUUUGUUGUGGGGGUCGGUUUGGAUGGGUCAUGAAACACCUUACUAAGGCACCUAGGUUUUAAUAAUGGGCCCGGAAGAGCUGCUGAAACUUAAAGCAUGUGUAGGUACAAAAUGAACAAAUUUGCAUCUACAUUUUGACAGAGUGGUCAGUCAGACUCAAAAGUAAUUACGUGUGUUAGGAACUACAAUGGGGAGUUCCCAUUGUGGCACAGUUGGAAAUGAAUCCAACUAGGAACCAUGAGGCCUUGCUCAAUGGGUUAAGGAUCCAGCAUUGCUGUGAGCUGUGUAGGUCUCAGACAUGGCUUGGCUCUGGCAUUGCUGUGGCUGUGGUGUAGGCUGGCAGCUACAGCUACGAUUGACCCCAGCCUGGGAACCUCCAUAUGCCAUGAAUGCGGCCCUAAAAAG
rnacentral:lncRNA from 1 species